rnacentral:lncRNA from 1 species
CACUCGUCGCCUUGGCUUUUUGCCGCCGCGGCUUUCUGCCCCCUCGCUGCCGCGGCUUUUUGCCCCUCCGCCACCGCCGCUGCUUUUUGCCCCACCGCCGCCGUGGCUUUUUGCCCGCCGCAGCUUUUUGCCAUCGCGGCUUUUUACUCGCCACGGCCUUUUACCCGCCACGGCUUUUUGCGCCCCGCUGUCACGGCUUUUUGCCCCCCUGCCGCAGCGACUUUUUCGCCGCCGCGGCGUUUUGCCCCCGCCGCCACGGCUUUUUGCCGCUGUCGCCGCCGCUUUUUGCCCCCGCCGCCGCGGCUUUUUGCUGCCGCGACUUUUUGCCCCGGUCGCCGCCGCUUUUUGUCACCGCGACUUUUUGCCCCCGCCACCGAGGAUUUUUGUCCCCGCCGCCACGGCUCUGAGGGCAGGAGCGGCAGACUCGGCUGCCAGCUCUACUGGCGUCCUGGCAAGGGCAGCGCCCCGGGCUCCUUGCCUAGGCCCCUGUGGCCUGCAUAGAGUGGCGCUGCCUGUGGAGGCGGUGGGAGAGAAGAAGGAGGGCGGUGGUGGGGGUGAUGCGGCGGCCACGGAGGGUGGCACAGGGGCUGCGGCCAGCCGGGCGCUGCAGCAGUGCGGGCAGCUCCAGAAGCUCAUCGUCAUCUUCAUUGGCAGCCUGUGCGGGCUGUGCACCAAGUGCGCUGUGUCUAACGACCUCACCCAGCAGGAGAUACAGACCCUGGAGGCUAAUACAACCAGUUGGAAAAAUGCGAUGGAUAAUCCAUUGGUGAGAGAACAUCUGAAGUGGUACUUUGCUAUCUUCUAAAGCUAGGUGAUGAUAUUCUGAUCUAUGAGAUGCAAGAAGAUGUGAUGUGUGGGACAUCCAUGAAAACUGAUUAAUGAGACCUGACACAAAUUAGAGAUCAAGCCCACUACGACCACCACCAUUUUUCUCUUCUAUCCUAUUUUUUUGUGACCUCUAGCAUGACCAUGAUGCCAAGAUCUCUAGCAGCCACAUAGUGACCUGAGGUAAAUCUGAGUAUGAAAAUCAUGUGCCAGGAUGGUGUAGAAAGAGGGUUUUGGAUCCUAUUGACAAUGGAAAGUUGGUCUUCCUACCUCUGAACCUCUUUAUGUAAGAGAAGUAACCUGAGUUUUAAAAGCCAUUAUUAUUUCCAUUUUCUCUGCUGAUGCAGACAAACACAAGUCCUAAUUUUAUAGAGACCUAAUACGUUCUGGACCUCAGAAAGAGAUUCCUGGAGGAAAUGUUGUUUUCAACCACUAACUCUGCUAAUUUCAGGCCAAGUGAGGCAUUAUAUAGACAGUCUGACCACUGCCACAGUUGCAUACGUUCUAAAUUUGAAAUAAAUCCCUUACUCUGUAUCACUUAUAGUGGAUCUGCUUCUCUGAUAAAACCCUCACUAAGACAAUUAUCAUCCACUGUUUGUUUUUCCUGUGGUAAGUAUAUCAUUGCUGUAUAAAAAUAACCUUUUAAUUAUUAACUCAGUUGGCCCAGUUUAGCAUCUUUUCCAUCUUCCAUUCUCAAUUUGAUAAUUACCAUCUUUCAUAAUAAUUAUCCUUCAGGUUUCACAAUACAUGUAUGUUGAAUGUUAAGGCUAUUCUUCAUUGAUAUUUACACUUUGACUCCAUGGUGAGAGAAGCUGCAGUAUCUGAGAAAUAAAUAAUUUGUAUGUGGGAGGUGUGAUUUUACAGCUAGAUUAUAGCUCAGUUUCUAGUUCUUUCUUUUAGAGAGAUUUCUCUUGGUCAUCUUUAUAGAGGUAUGAAGAUAUUUAGUUUUACUGUUAUUAUAUUAACAUUUUAAAAAGCAGCUUUCUACAAGGUAUGGCAUCAGGUGGAAUUAUUCUUGCUGUGCUCUCAAAUAAUCUCCAUGCUAAGUUUUUGGGCCUCACUGCAGCCCCUGAACACGUAUGUCUCUCUGUACCUCCUCUGUAUGAUGUAGUGAAUUUUUUGGACCUUUGAAUCACACACAGGCUUUCUUGGCUGUUUUAUACCAAAGGACUUUCACUAAAUUCCUAAGAAAAAUUUAGCACAGCCGAUGCUGUUUUCCAAUGCCAACCUUGGAGUUUGCAAUUUGCCCAGACAAAAAUACCAUAGCUGAUGGUGAUGAUGAUGUCAAUAUUUUUUUAAAAUACAAUUUAAAAAAUGGUUCAACAUAAAUUAUCUCAUUUAGUCCCCUGAACAACCUUGUGAUGUGAUUUUGAACAGGAAUAUCAAGACCUCAGGAUCUGGCAUCAAAUUCUGGGGUUUGAAUAUUAUUUCUAUCACAAACUAUUUAUAUUACUGCUUAUAUGUAAGUGACAACCUUUCUAUUCCUUAUUUUUUCCACUUGUAAAAUCAGAAAAAUGACAAUGAUGAGAGCACCAAACUUAUGAGCUUGCGAAGAUUAAAUGUGUGUAUGGGUUUUUAUCAGUUUGAGAGACAUUAUAUUUCCAUUUGUUGUCAUUCUGUCCCUUCCAUCAGGGUAGGACCUUUCUUCAGUGCAUUACUUUGUCCCCUGAACCUAGAAUGGUACCUGGAAUAUCAUUGGUGCCCAAUAAGUACUUGCUGAAUAAAUGACUGAAUAAAUAAAUGUAAUCUGUCAAUAUUUUCAUCUGAAGAUAUGAUAUCUGUUUUUUACCUUAUUUUUUCAAUCAUCCGAAAGGUAGUAUGCACAUUUGAAAGGUAGUCAUUGUUAUUUUCUUACACCAGUACUUGCACUUUUACAAUAUGUAGCAAUAAUCAUAAGCAAAGUAUCAUGACAGAGUGAGAAUAAACUUAAAUCUGUAAUUGCAAUUUUUCUUCACCGUGGCCUCCAUUGUUUGUCAUGUGUCUUGGCUACGUCAGGAUGGAAAGCAUUGCUUUUUUCUAUUUACAGGACCAGAAUUAAAUCCAUGUUUCUUGGCUGACCAUUUGGUUAGUUUUUGUUUGUUCAUUUGUUUUUUCAUGAAAUGUUCAUGGUGGUUGGGCUGGAAUAGGUAUAGCAUUUUAUUUAUUUAUACUCAGCUGAAACUAAGAGAAAUAUUUCAGACCAAGAAGUGGGGACAAGAGCAAUACUUGUGUAAUAAUACGAUGUACCAUUUUACAUUAUUUGGAAGUGCUGAUGCCUGCAUCUAUAGCAUCAGUCAAGAAAGAGAGGUAAUGAAAGAGAUUUCAAAUGAAUAUCAGAUAGGCUUUAGUAUUACAUAGGAUAAGACAGACAGGAUUGGUCAGGGUAUGCUGGAAAAGAUUUUUUAUCUUAUUUUAUUGGCUUUAUUUAAAUUUUUUUUUUUUUCCCAGCUGGAAAUCUAUUUAUUUAUUUUUCUUCAGUGUUACAAUGAAACAACAUUGCUUUAUUUAAAUUUUAUAAAAAUUCAAACCAUACAGUACUUUAUAAUAAAAUUGACUGCCUUUGGCUACUCUAUCUCUAUUUCCAGUGCAACUGUGGAAGUGGCACUGACAGAUAUGGUUUUAGCUACUUAGAAAUUUUUCUAGACACACACACACACACACACACACACACACACAAUUUAUAUGCAAAAUGCUCAUAUGCAUGUCAUAUUUUUUCUUUAUUCAGCAAGUUAUAGUGGAUAUUCUUUUAUAGCAUACGUAGCAAUGGACUUCUCUUUUUAAAGACUGCCUAGAAUUCUGUAGUUAUAAUACAGUCAUUCAUGUAACUAAUUCUCUAAAAACAAGCCAGAUGAUAUUUACUAAGAACUUACUAUGGGUCAGGCACAGCUCUAAUAGUCUAAUCUCAUCUAAUCUCAAUACGUUCAUGAGUUAGGAAUGGUUGUUAUUCCCAUAUGUUCCCAAUGAGGAAACUGAAGCAGAGAGUUUAAAUAAUGUGCCCUAAUUUACAGAAUUAUUAAACUGGUACUGGAAUUAUGCAAAGAUAAUCAGGCAUCAGAGUUUGUGAUGUCAACUGUUAUGUGAUACUGCAAUAAACGUUGUAUAAACCUCUGUAAACUAGUGUGACAUGGUUUGGCUGUGUCCCCACCCAAAUCCCAUCUUAAAUCGUAACUCCUACAAUUCCCACCUGUCAUGGGAGGAACCUGGUGGUAGGUGAUUGAAUUAUGGGGGUGGGUCUUUCCUGAACUGUUCUCGUGAUAAUGAAUGAGUCUCACGAGAUAUGAUGGUUUUAAAAACAGGAGUUUCUCUGCACAAGCUCUCUCUUUGCCUGCCACCACCCAUGUAAGAUGUUGACUUGCUCUUUCUUGCCUUCUGCCAUGAUUGUGAGAACUUCCCACUCCUGUAGAACUGUUAAGUCCAUUAAAC